rnacentral:lncRNA from 1 species
GAGGGAACCGCCCGAGGCUGCGACCCAGCACAGGGCCCGGGGGCUGCCCCGCGAGGAAGCCCAGGGCCAGCAUCCUGAGCCCCACCUGCAGGCCCUGGGCGCUUUCCUCCUGGCAGCUGUGCCCCCACCCGACCGGACCGCUCCCUGCAACCAGAGAGCCCUCACACCAGCAACACCCCCCAGCCUGCUCCCUCCUCGUGUGCGCGAAACUCAUGGCACUGGCUUGACGGCUUUCUCUGAAACCCUCUGAUUCCGCCUGGCCCAUCCACACUGUCCCUUCCCGGCCAGGGCUCAUCUCCUAUGCCUGGACCAAACAGCGUAGUCUCCAGUCUCCCUGAUCUCCCCACACGUGGCCCCACCCAUCCUCUGAAGCAGCCCCAGGAGGCAGCAGUGACUUCACACUUCUAGUGCCCGGCCCUCCCGGCCCUCCUCUCUGGGCUUGCUUGCCAGGGUCCUCCCAACCUGACUGCUGCCUCCCACCUCCUCUCCGCCCCUGGAGCUCUCCAGCCGCAGCCGCGGGGCCUGCUUGGGAUUCUCCUCUGCUGGCAUCAUCCCUGCCUGCCUCAGCCUUCCCAGGCCCAAUCCUGCCCGAUCUCACCUCUUCCCGCCCAGCCACCUGGUCGGGUCCCGACCAGCAUCUGCCUUCAAACCUGGAGUCCUUCCCUGAGUGCUUGCGGUGCACUGUGAGGAAGGAAAUCAAUGUAAAGGAUUAUGACCCACAUUUUUUAAAAAUAAAAAGAUUAAGGAGAACAGCA